GACAGAGGUGCCAAGCGUUAGGCGGAAUCACUGGGCUUAAAGCGUGUGUAGGCGGAUGCCUAAGUACCUUGUGAAAUCCCACGGCUCAACCGUGGAACUGCUUGGUAUACUGGCUGUCUUGAGCCACUUAGGGGCAACCGGAACAAACGGUGGAGCGGUGAAAUGCGUAGAUAUCAUUUGGAACGCCAAUGGUGAAAACAGGUAGCUGGGAGUGUGCUGACGCUGAGACACGAAAGCCAGGGGAGCAAACGGG
rnacentral:rRNA from 1 species